CUUUGAAUUACGAAUCCAUGGUGGGAUUUUCCUCCUGGGCCCAGGCCCAUUAAAUACUCCGGACAAGUGACAACCACAUUCCAGUGGGCUCCACAACUAUGGCCUCGCGUAAGGGUUGUAAACACACCAGCUGUUUGGGGAAAUGCCUAAGCGUAUCCUGAACCCAUCUUGAUCCACUUGAAG